rnacentral:rRNA from 1 species
GUAAGUAAAAAGUCGUAACAAGGUCUCCGUUGGUGAACCAGCGGAGGGAUCAUUACCGAGUUUACAACUCCCAAACCCAAUGUGAACGUUACCAAACUGUUGCCUCGGCGGGAUCUCUGCCCCGGGUGCGUCGCAGCCCCGGACCAAGGCGCCCGCCGGAGGACCAACCAAAACUCUUAUUGUAUACCCCCUCGCGGGUUUUUUUAUAAUCUGAGCCUUCUCGGCGCCUCUCGUAGGCGUUUCGAAAAUGAAUCAAAACUUUCAACAACGGAUCUCUUGGUUCUGGCAUCGAUGAAGAACGCAGCGAAAUGCGAUAAGUAAUGUGAAUUGCAGAAUUCAGUGAAUCAUCGAAUCUUUGAACGCACAUUGCGCCCGCCAGUAUUCUGGCGGGCAUGCCUGUCCGAGCGUCAUUUCAACCCUCGAACCCCUCCGGGGGGUCGGCGUUGGGGAUCGGCCCUCCCUUAGCGGGUGGCCGUCUCCGAAAUACAGUGGCGGUCUCGCCGCAGCCUCUCCUGCGCAGUAGUUUGCACACUCGCAUCGGGAGCGCGGCGCGUCCACAGCCGUUAAACACCCAACUUCUGAAAUGUGACCUCGGAUCAGUAGAUACAGGCCUCA